rnacentral:rRNA from 1 species
AGGUCUUCGGACCGAGUAGAGUGGCGCACGGGUGAGUAACACGUGAGUAACCUACCCUUUGGUCUGGGAUAACAAGCCGAAAGGCUUGCUAAUACCGGAUAAGACCACGGUGUCCUCGGACGCAGUGGGAAAAGUUGGGGACCGGAGACGGCCUGACGCAGAAGGAUGGGCUCGCGGCCUAUCAGCUUGUUGGUGAGGUAAUGGCUCACCAAGGCUUAGACGGGUAGCUGGUCUGAGAGGAUGAUCAGUCACACUGGAACUGAGACACGGUCCAGACUCCUACGGGAGGCAGCAGUGGGGAAUUUUGCGCAAUGGGCGAAAGCCUGACGCAGCGACGCCGCGUGUGCGAUGAAGGCCCUUGGGUCGUAAAGCACUGUCAAGCGGGAAGAACAGUUUUCGGUUAAUACCCGGAGACUCUGACGGUACCGCUGGAGGAAGCACCGGCUAACUCUGUGCCAGCAGCCGCGGUAAUACAGAGGGUGCAAACGUUGUUCGGAAUUACUGGGCGUAAAGAGCUUGUAGGCGGCAUGUUAAGUCGACUGUGAAAGCCCAUGGCUCAACCAUGGAAGUGCAGUCGAUACUGGGCACGCUAGAGUCCCGGAGAGGGUGGUGGAAUUCCCAGUGUAGAAGUGAAAUUCGUAGAUAUUGGGAGGAACACCAGUGGCGAAGGCGACCACCUUGGACCGGGUACUGACCGCUGAGAAGCGAAAGCGUGGGGGAGCAAACAGAUUAAAUACCCUGGUAGUCCACGCCGGUAAACCGAUGAG